UCUCUCUUUUAUAUUGCAUGCUGCAGAGAUUAGGAUUUCUUUCCUGUUGGAGGACUUUGGUAUCAUGUUCAUCUCUCCAAAGAAAUCUUUUGGUGCCAGAGUUGCAUCAUUAAACAAAGAGGCUGAAAACACAGUGUGGAAUGGAUGAUAUUUUAUGAAACAUAGACAAAGUUGUUGUCCUAAAGUCUAAUUUUAGUCAGUCAGUUCUGAGACAUUGUCAAAUCAGAUUUAAGUGGGACUUUUGUCAGGAAACCAGAACAAAACUACAGGAAAUUACAAUGUCUUAAGAAGCAGCUGCCAGUUUUGUGAAAAAAGACAGACAAUCCAACAUUUGAAAAAGACACCAGUUUAAUCAACAACAAGACUGUGCAGAUAAGAUUCAACCCUGGGAAAGAAAUGGUUGCACAAGAAUAAAACUCUUACAGAUGUGGGAUUCAAUUCCGGAAAAAAAAAACAGUGGUAAAGCAAGAACAAAACUUCUACGGAUAAAGGAUUCAGCUAAGGAAAAAUGAUGGUUGUACAAAAACAAAAUUUUGCAGAGGUACAAAAAAAAAAAAAUUGUGCAUGAACAAACACUGUUUUGACAGAUAAAGGUGUUGGUUGUGUAAGCGGAGUGUAGAAAGGUUUUAUUGAAUGUCAGAAGAAAAGAUAGAAGACAUUCUGAAUUUCCAGUAACUAACAAGAAACAAAAAUAUGAAGAACAGAAACAAAAUUUUCAGAAAUGCUUUGAAGGCUUCUUUGGUCUUGAUAUUUUGAAUCUAAGAUUAAAGUGGAAAAUGUAACAGGGGACUUUGAAUGUAUGAGGAAUUGUAGACUUGCGGUAUAUGACGGGCAGAAACACUAUUAUUGGACAGCAAAUUUGAGAUUUUGCUUUACUGUGUUUUCAAAAGCUUUCUUGAAGCAACAUUUGAUAAGGAGAUUAGAAGAAACAAGUAAGUGUUUAAAGAGAUAUUGCAGGAGACACGCCUUUCAGCUUAAGAGGUAAGUUAGUAGAUAUAUAGAGAGUCAUCAAAAUAUCUUUCAAGAAGUGAACACCAGUUACAAGUGAGAAGAAUGACUGUACAAACUGUUGUUUCCAAUUGAAAGAUAGGUUGAACUAAGAAAUGUUAAAAUAUUUAUUUUGGCCAUUCCAUGUGAAAACCUGAACCGGUUAGUGACAUGAUAUAAUUAUUACAUAAUAAAUAGUUUGAAAUACUGGAAGAUUAUUGUUUUUGUUGUGUUCAUACAGAAACUAGUAUAUUGUAAUUCAUUUAUCUAUUAGUAAGACAAAUCUAAUUCUACCUUGGCUUAAAUAUGAGUACCGGUGAAAU